GUCAGCGUAGCACAACCUGGCCAUGCAAAAGACCUAAACCCUUCCCAUAGAGGUUCAAAUCCUCUCGCUAACU
rnacentral:tRNA from 1 species